GAUGAACGCUGGCGGCGUGCCUAAUACAUGCAAGUCGAGCGAACGGACGAGAAGCUUGCUUUUCUGAUGUUAGCGGCGGACGGGUGAGUAACACGUGGAUAACCUACCUAUAAGACUGGGAUAACUUCGGGAAACCGGAGCUAAUACCGGAUAAUAUUUUGAACCGCAUGGUUCAAAAGUGAAAGACGGUCUUGCUGCCACUUAUAGAUGGAUCCGCGCUGCAUUAGCUAGUUGGUAAGGUAACGGCUUACCAAGGCAACGAUGCAUAGCCGACCUGAGAGGGUGAUCGGCCACACUGGAACUGAGACACGGUCCAGACUCCUACGGGAGGCAGCAGUAGGGAAUCUUCCGCAAUGGGCGAAAGCCUGACGGAGCAACGCCGCGUGAGUGAUGAAGGUCUACGGAUCGUAAAACUCUGUUAUUAGGGAAGAACAUAUGUGUAAGUAACUGUGCACAUCUUGACGGUACCUAAUCAGAAAGCCACGGCUAACUACGUG
rnacentral:rRNA from 1 species